rnacentral:misc_RNA from 1 species
CUAUCUAAACUCGCCUGCGUUUUUACGAACACUGGCGGAAAUUGAGUGUCACACUUUAUCUCGAAGUGUGUUACUUGAAAGGUAGAAGCGGUAGUUCCCUUCUCUCUUCGAGAGAACUCAUUGGUUCUUCCUAAUCUUCGGACUAGGCUGAGUCAAACUGAGUGACGUGGUUAAGUUCGCCUCGUGCGACACCGCCAUCGUCAACUAUCUCAGCGCGAUUUAGUUGGAUCAAACCGAGUGCGGAACGUCAUUACCGUUCUUUGGAUUAUUUACUCCAAACAACAAA